UACAGAGGGGGCAAGCGUUGUUCGGAAUUACUGGGCGUAAAGCGCGCGUAGGCGGUUUGGAAAGUCAGAUGUGAAAGCCCCGGGCUCAACUUGGGAACUGCAUUUGAUACUGCCAGACUAGAGUACAGAAGAGGUGACUGGAAUUCCCAGUGUAGCGGUGAAAUGCGUAGAUAUUGGGAGGAACACCAGAUGCGAAGGCGGGUCACUGGGCUGAUACUGACGCUGAAGUGCGAAAGCCAGGGGAGCGAACGGG
rnacentral:rRNA from 1 species